GUGAAUGACAUGGGGACAGAGGAGGGGGUGGGGGAGUCUCCAGGGAGUUCCGGGUUUCUGGUGAUCUGCCCUCUGACUGAGGGGUGCGGGGAGGCUGGGCGUGGAGGUCCAGAGCAGCCUGGCCUUCGUCCAGACUCUACAUGACUCCCAGCGCCUGACGCAUCACGUGGCCCUUUCUGUCUGUUGUCCUCGCCCCUCGCGAUCCGCCUGGUGCUCUCCACCUGAGCCUGGAUUCUGGGUUAUGCUGACAGUGGCAGUUUCUUGUGCACCUACUAUGUGCCUGGCCCAGGGCUGAGUUAGACAGCAGGCUCUGGUUCUGUUGCCCAGGUUGGCCCUCAACGUCUGGGCUCCAGCAAUCCUCCUGCCUCAGCCUCCCCGGUGUGGGACCACCGGCCAGCGCGGCGGUGACUUUUGGGACCUUGCUGGCUUUUCCUGAUCUCAUCCUGCCCCUGCUGGAAGACAAGGACCUGAGACUCAGGGCCAUCUGCGCUGCGCUUCAGUUGAGACAGGUCUCACUGAGUGGCUUAGCGCCUCCCUGUUGCUGAGGCUGGGUAUGACCUCUCCAUCCUCCUGCCUCAGCCUCCUGAGCGACCUGGCCCAGCUGGGAUCCCUGGAAAGCUCUGGGUAAGGGCCGCCUCGAAGGCCUGUGCAGUCAUGGCUGGAAUGCAGCCCUAGGGCGCUGUCAGCACCUUGCAAAGUCCCCUCGUCCUUCCAGGAUCCAAAAAUGAUUCAGUAGUUUGGAAUACGGCUUUAGCCUUGGACCGCGUUCCCCAAACCCAAUCUUAAGCGGAACCCCAGUGCGUGCAGCGACCGGGAAGCACCCGCCCUCCCUCCACUUUUAUCUUCACGGUGCUGGGGAUGGAACCAGGGCCACAUCCCGGACCCCCGAGCGCUGCGAUCCCUCCCCCCCCCCACACCCGGCUGCGGACAGCUCCGGGGACGCAGGCGGCAGGUGAGGACUCAAGGGGGUCGUCUACACUUCUGCUAGCCAGUCUACACCGGCGGAUUCUGCGCCCCUGCGAGUUGCAGCAGCCCUUCUGCACACAAAGGCACUGCGUUCGGAAGAGAAGGGUUUUCCCCAUGAAUCAUAAUGACUCGGGGUCACAGCCCGGCCCAUUUCCUUCCCCGCGCCACUUCCUCAUUCGGAAGGCAAGGAGCCGCGCGCCUGAGACUCCGGUGAGCCCUGGGAACCCGGCGACGCCGCCCGACCCGUGGGAAGGAGGGGCGGCGGGGAGACAGCGACCCCUGGCGGGCGAUCCUGGCUGGCCAGCGCGUGGGCGCUCCGGGGACUCCGCUCGGGUCUCCUGCUCAAGGAGAGGGUUCUGUUCCCAGCGGGCGCACUGAGCCCUCGCUGUUCUUCACCUUGGUUUCCUCGUCUGCAAAAUGGGGAUAAUCAUGUCCCCCUCACAGAACCGCUGUGAAGACACAAGUCAAUAAAU